CUAUCUAAUGCAUGUUAGAGUUACAUCUCAUCUAAGGUAACUUCUACUCAACACAUGUUCUCAAUGACAUAUUCAAGACCUACAUGUUUGUCACUGUGCACGUUACACGUGUCCUGAGUCACUCCAACCACUUAGUGCAUAUAUGAGUACAUCCCAUCCAAGAUAAUUUUUUUUCUCGAAACGUUUUUCCAGUGACAUUAACAAGUCUUACAUGUGUGGUAAUGUGCAUGUGUAUGUGAUACAUGUGUCCUGAGCCAUCCCAAUCAUCAAAUGCUUAUUAAGGUUACAUCUCAUCUCACCCUCUAUUGUUAAAGUAUAAAUUAGUGCACUUGAAUGAUUGGAAGGAUGUAACAUUUGGAACUCAUACAAGGGAAAAUGGUCUACAUUGAAGAAUUGAAUGCUUACAAUUAUUUUUUUCCUCAAUUGAUUGUGAGGAUGACAUGUAUGCAUUCUAUAGGUCCCAAAUGACAUUAUCCUAAAUCAUCUAAAGACAUUGGGAGUGAACUAUUGUUCACUGGUGGUCAAGAAGUUAUAAAUAUGUUUUACCACAAGUCAUUACUUCCUUUUUUCCUUUUGGAUAAACUUACCAAGUGGUUUGCAUUGUGACAAAUAAAAAUAUGCAAGAUAUAAUUAGGUGGCAUUCUCAAUUCCUAUAAUACUA
rnacentral:lncRNA from 1 species